rnacentral:tRNA from 3 species
GGAGAAUUAGCUCAGCUGGGAGAGCAUCUACCUUACAAGCAGAGGGUCGGCGGUUCGAACCCGUCAUUCUCCACCA